rnacentral:rRNA from 1 species
UACAGAGGGGGCAAGCGUUGUUCGGAAUUACUGGGCGUAAAGGGUGCGUAGGCGGUUGUUUAAGUCUGUCGUGAAAUCCCCGGGCUCAACCUGGGAAUGGCGAUGGAUACUGGGCAGCUAGAGUGUGUCAGAGGAUGGUGGAAUUCCCGGUGUAGCGGUGAAAUGCGUAGAGAUCGGGAGGAACAUCAGUGGCGAAGGCGGCCAUCUGGGACAACACUGACGCUGAAGCACGAAAGCGUGGGGAGCAAACAGG